rnacentral:rRNA from 1 species
UACGUAGGGGGCAAGCGUUGUCCGGAUUUAUUGGGCGUAAAGAGCGUGUAGGCGGCCAUACAGGUCCGUUGUGAAAACUGGAGGCUUAACCUCCAGACGUCGAUGGAAACCGUAUGGCUAGAGUCCGGAAGAGGAGAGUGGAAUUCCUGGUGUAGCGGUGAAAUGCGCAGAUAUCAGGAAGAACACCCGUGGCGAAGGCGGCUCUCUGGGACGGUACUGACGCUGAGUGAGCGAAAGCCAGGGGAGCAAACGGG